UGGGGAAUAUUGGACAAUGGGCGAAAGCCUGAUCCAGCCAUGCCGCGUGUGUGAAGGAGGUCUUCGGAUUGUAAAGCACUUUAAGUUGGGAGGAAGGGUACUUACCUAAUACGUGAGUAUUUUGACGUUACCGACAGAAUAAGCACCGGCUAACUCUGUGCCAGCAGCCGCGGUAAUACAGAGGGUGCAAGCGUUAAUCGGAAUUACUGGGCGUAAAGCGCGCGUAGGUGGUUUGUUAAGUUGGAUGUGAAAGCCCCGGGCUCAACCUGGGAACUGCAUCCAAAACUGGCAAGCUAGAGUAUGGUAGAGGGUGGUGGAAUUUCCUGUGUAGCGGUGAAAUGCGUAGAUAUAGGAAGGAACACCAGUGGCGAAGGCGACCACCUGGACUGAUACUGACACUGAGGUGCGAAAGCGUGGGGAGCAAACA
rnacentral:rRNA from 1 species